GUAACAUACACUUAUACUCCUAGAGUUAACUAAUCUAGACUUAGUGCUUAGAGUUGAGCGGUGGGGUAGGAUUUUUGGUAUAUAAUAUAUAUGAUUCUAAUAAAAAUAUAAAUAAAUACUUAAAAAAUUAAAAAAAAUGAAAACAGAGUCUCAAACAUAAUUUUCGAUUUUCAAAAUGAAAAUUUGAAAAAAAAUUAAAAAGAAUUCGAAAAAAAUUCAAAAAAUAUAUAUAUACAAGUUCAAAUUUGAAAAAGUAUAAUUCGAAAAAGCUACAUUUUAGUAUUUAUACUAAACCACUUAAAUUAUUAAACGGUAUAAUUUAAGUUUUUAAUCAUUUGUUAAAAGUUAAUCUCAGAUUUUGAGUCACCAAAUAUAUGCAUGUAACAUUUUUAGGAUAUUUUUUUGCAUGUGAGAUUGGAAUGGUUUCCAAGAAUCCGACGAAGUUCAGAAGCGGGUGAAAAUCUGAUCAAUUAAAAUUGAUUCGACAACAUCUCUGCCUAAAUAAAAGCCAAGUAACUGUCCCAAUAAAGCGGAUGAUCGGUUGCUCGGUACAUGCCAGUUGAAGGACUGAGGGUGAAAUUCUGGAUGUGCCUCCAUGCUCCAACAGGAAGAAGGCGGCCUUUACUCUCCAUCUUCAUCGGAUAGCACCAUCUCGAGGGUGUCCCCGUGCACUGGGUUGUACUGCUUCCAAGAGUGCAGAACCUUCACAUGUACUUUCCAGCCACUCUUGUAGGGUUUCACAUCUUUCAAAGGGGUUACUUUCAUUGCGGUAGACUUUUUUUUUUUGAUUGCGAAUGUAGUUGUGAGUAAAUGUGAGAAAGCUUAGGCAUGUUGUAGGUGUUUAUACAGCAGUAGGUUAAUCGAUGGUUCUAAAUGUCUGGUAAAAAAAUAU